UGAGGAAUAUUGGUCAAUGGGCGCAAGCCUGAACCAGCCAUGCCGCGUGCAGGAUGACGGUCCUAUGGAUUGUAAACUGCUUUUGUACAGGGAGAAACAGUUCUACGUGUAGAACCUUGACGGUACUGUAAGAAUAAGGAUCGGCUAACUCCGUGCCAGCAGCCGCGGUAAUACGGAGGAUCCAAGCGUUAUCCGGAAUCAUUGGGUUUAAAGGGUCCGUAGGCGGUUUUGUAAGUCAGUGGUGAAAGCCCAUCGCUCAACGGUGGAACGGCCAUUGAUACUGCAAGACUUGAAUUAUUGGGAAGUAACUAGAAUAUGUAGUGUAGCGGUGAAAUGCUUAGAGAUUACAUGGAAUACCAAUUGCGAAGGCAGGUUACUACUAAUGGAUUGACGCUGAUGGACGAAAGCGUGGGAGCGAACAGGAUUAGAUACCCUGGUAGUCCACGCCGUAAACGAUGGAUACUAGCUGUUCGGAGCAAUCUGAGUGG
rnacentral:rRNA from 1 species